UACGUAGGGUGCAAGCGUUGUCCGGAAUUAUUGGGCGUAAAGAGCUCGUAGGCGGUUUGUCGCGUCUGCUGUGAAAACCCGAGGCUCAACCUCGGGCCUGCAGUGGGUACGGGCAAACUAGAGUGCGGUAGGGGAGAAUGGAAUUCCUGGUGUAGCGGUGGAAUGCGCAGAUAUCAGGAGGAACACCGAUGGCGAAGGCAGUUCUCUGGGCCUGUACUGACGCUGAGGAGCGAAAGCGUGGGGAGCGAACAGG
rnacentral:rRNA from 1 species